rnacentral:misc_RNA from 1 species
GAUGAUGGUGGAGUGCUCCUUAUCCCUCAAAUCGAAAAUUCUCACCGACCCAUCUGCAGAAACCGAAGCAAAAACCCUUGCUUCUCCCCAAGCAAUGUCGUGAACCUCCUUAUCAUGGGCAAUUAGCUGGGUUUCAACAGCACCCCUUUCAAUAUCCCAAAUAGUACAUGUCGUAUCAAUGCUGCAAGUCCCAAUUCUCUUGGGCUCGAUCUCGUUCCAAUCAAAAGACGUCAACGGAGCAAAAAAUUCGCUGGUCUUGCUAUUAUUAAGGACGGAGAUGGGUUCAACGGAGCUUUCACGGACUUCCCAGAGGCGAAGAAAGUCGCCGGAGGAGGCGAGGAGGUCGGAGGACUUGCGGAGAGAGGAAGGAGCGGCUGGAUGGAACAUGAGCUUGGUGGGUGGGUAGGGGUGGUCGAGGGAAAGAGUAGGAUGAGUCUUGAAGGAGAGGGUCUCGAGGUCGAAGGAAAGAAUGUCGACACGGUUGCUGUAUUCUUCAAUGAAGCUGCCGACGGCGAUGCGUUGGUGGUGGUUGUGGUUGGGCGAAGGGGAGGAGGAGAAAGCCAUGGCGUAAAGAGGGUAUGGGGAUUCAUAGGUGAUAGAAUUAUCGGAUCGGAGGUGCGAUUCUUGGUUAGAGUUUUCCAUAUUUUCUCGAGACAAAAGUGAAUGGAAAUGAAUUUUCUGGGGAGUGUUUGGUUUUGAAGGGAAACUAACGGAAAGUCAAUGUCUGAAGGAGGGAAAAUUCAGCUCUACUUUCCAGUUUGUUGGAUUUUAACGCGAGACUACCUACAUUAAACUACUCGGCGGUCAAGGGCGACUGC